rnacentral:rRNA from 1 species
GCGUAUAUUAAAGUUGUUGCAGUUAAAAAGCUCGUAGUUGGAUUUCUGGUGGGGGUGUUUGGCCGGCUCAAUGAGUUUUGCGCCUAUACGUCUCCGCCAUCCUUGGGGAAAACUUGCUUGGCAUUAGGUUGUCGAGUUUGGGAUCCCCAUCGUUUACUGUGAAAAAAUUAGAGUGUUCAAAGCAGGCUUAUGCCGUUGAAUACAUUAGCAUGGAAUAAUAAGAUAGGACCUUGGUACUAUUUUGUUGGUUUGCGUACCUAGGUAAUGAUUAAUAGGGGCAGUUGGGGGUAUUCGUAUUCAAUUGUCAGAGGUGAAAUUCUUGGAUUUAUGGAAGACGAACUACUGCGAAAGCAUUUACCAAGGAUGUUUUCAUUAAUCAAGAACGAAAGUUAGGGGAUCGAAGAUGAUUAGAUACCAUCGUAGUCUUAACCAUAAACUAUGCCGACUAGGGAUUGGCGGUCGUUUUUCCGACUCCGCCAGCACCUUAUGAGAAAUCAAAGUCUUUGGGUUCCGGGGGGAGUAUGGUCGCAAGGCUGAAACUUAAAGAAA